rnacentral:snoRNA from 1 species
GUUCCGUGAUGAGGGCACUUCUAUAAUAAUUCUUUGCACAUUUCCCAUGCCUCGUACAUAGACUCAUCAUCAAUUUGUUGGGAAGCAGUGAUCUCAUUCCUCAACUU